rnacentral:rRNA from 1 species
AUAUCAAUAAGCGGAGGAAAAGAAACCAACAGGGAUUGCCUCAGUAACGGCGAGUGAAGCGGCAACAGCUCAAAUUUGAAAUCUGGCCUUACGGUCCGAGUUGUAAUUUGUAGAGGAUGUUUUGGGUACCGCCGCGGUUUAAAUUUCUUGGAACAGAAUGUCAAAGAGGGUGAGAGUCCCGUCUUGGAUCGCGGUAGGGCCUGUGUAAAACUCCUUCGACGAGUCGACUUGUUUGGGAAUGCAGGUCAAAAUGGGUGGUAAAUUUCAUCUAAAGCUAAAUAUUGGCCAGAGACCGAUAGCGCACAAGUAGAGUGAUCGAAAGAUGAAAAGCACUUUGAAAAGAGAGUUAAACAGUAC